ACCUUUGUAUGACUAGGUAGACGAGAGAGCGACGACAACGACAACUGACAAGAAUAUAAGUGAGACUUGAAUAUGUGUACAGACUAAUACAUGAGCUGGACAUAUUGUAAAGCCUUCUGCCACACAGAGGUGAUUAUUUCAUUAUAAGUCAUAAUAAUCCCAAUAUAUAUAUAUAUCCUUUUGAAUGUCCCGUCAUAGUGUACGUCCGUGAAUAGUUUUCACCAUUUAUGAGUAACGUCAACAGUAAAUGCCAAAAGGCCAUACACUUAUAAUAUAAUAUAUGUGUAAAGGUAAAUUGUAAUCCAUAUUGUAACUAAUAGAUAAGGAAAUAGUAUAUGCCCUAUUUCCAAUUCUUUAUUUGUUAUUAUAUAAUCCCCUGUUAAACGUACGUAUUUUACAGCUAAGUGUUAAUUGUCAGAUUGUACUCGUUUCUGUAAUAUAUGUAUCGAUAGCGUUAUGUGUAUGCGUAGUAAAGUAUUGUAUGUUUGUAUCGUUGCAGGGUAAGAUUUACCUACAAUAAAACCACUGGUUCGUUA